rnacentral:rRNA from 1 species
UACGUAGGGUGCAAGCGUUAAUCGGAAUUACUGGGCGUAAAGCGCGCGCAGGCGGUUUUUUAAGUUGGGUGUUAAAGGCAGUGGCUCAACCACUGUACGCACCCAAAACUGGAAAGCUUGAGUGCAGGAGAGGGGAGUGGAAUUCCCGGUGUAGCGGUGGAAUGCGUAGAGAUCGGGAGGAACACCAGUGGCGAAGGCGACUCUCUGGCCUGCAACUGACGCUGAGGCGCGAAAGCGUGGGGAGCAAACAGG